AGCAGCCGCGGUAAUUCCAGCUCCAAUAGCGUAUAUUAAAGUUGUUGUGGUUAAAAAGCUCGUAGUUGAACCUUGGGCCUGGCUGGCCGGUCCGCCUCACCGCGUGUACUGGUCCGGCCGGGCCUUUCCCUCUGUGGAACCCCAUGCCCUUCACUGGGUGUGGCGGGGAAACAGGACUUUUACUGUGAAAAAAUUAGAGUGCUCCAGGCAGGCCUAUGCUCGAAUACAUUAGCAUGGAAUAAUAGAAUAGGACGUGUGGUUCUAUUUUGUUGGUUUCUAGGACCGCCGUAAUGAUUAAUAGGGACAGUCGGGGGCAUCAGUAUUCAAUUGUCAGAGGUGAAAUUCUUGGAUUUAUUGAAGACUAACUACUGCGAAAGCAUUUGCCAAGGAUGUUUUCAUUAAUCAGGAACGAAAGUUAGGGGAUCGAAGACGAUCAGAUACCGUCGUAGUCUUAACCAUAAACUAUGCCGACUAGGGAUCGGACGGUGUUAUUUUUUGACCCGUUCG
rnacentral:sRNA from 1 species